UGGGGAAUAUUGCACAAUGGGCGCAAGCCUGAUGCAGCAACGCCGCGUGAGGGACGACGGCCUUCGGGUUGUAAACCUCUUUUAGUAGGGAAGAAGCGAAAGUGACGGUACCUGCAGAAAAACGCACCGGCUAACUACGUGCCAGCAGCCGCGGUAAUACGUAGGGUGCGAGCGUUGUCCGGAAUUAUUGGGCGUAAAGAGCUCGUAGGCGGUCUGUCGCGUCUGCUGUGAAAAUCCCGAGGCUCAACCUCGGGCCUGCAGUGGGUACGGGCAGACUAGAGUGCGGUAGGGGAGAAUGGAAUUCCUGGUGUAGCGGUGGAAUGCGCAGAUAUCAGGAGGAACACCGAUGGCGAAGGCAGUUCUCUGGGCCGUAACUGACGCUGAGGAGCGAAAGCGUGGGGAGCGAACAGGAUUAGAUACCCUGGUAGUCCACGCCGUAAACGUUGGGCGCUAGAUGUGGGGCACCAUUCCACGGUUUCCGUGUCGCAGCUAACGCAUUAAGCGCCCCGCCUGGGG
rnacentral:rRNA from 1 species